rnacentral:rRNA from 1 species
AUUGAACGCUGGCGGCAGGCCUAACACAUGCAAGUCGAACGGUAACAGGAAGAAGCUUGCUUCUUUGCUGACGAGUGGCGGACGGGUGAGUAAUGUCUGGGAAACUGCCUGAUGGAGGGGGAUAACUACUGGAAACGGUAGCUAAUACCGCAUAACGUCGCAAGACCAAAGAGGGGGACCUUCGGGCCUCUUGCCAUCGGAUGUGCCCAGAUGGGAUUAGCUAGUAGGUGGGGUAACGGCUCACCUAGGCGACGAUCCCUAGCUGGUCUGAGAGGAUGACCAGCCACACUGGAACUGAGACACGGUCCAGACUCCUACGGGAGGCAGCAGUGGGGAAUAUUGCACGAUGGGCGCAAGCCUGAUGCAGCCAUGCCGCGUGUAUGAAGAAGGCCUUCGGGUUGUAAAGUACUUUCAGCGGGGAGGAAGGGAGUAAAGUUAAUACCUUUGCUCAUUGACGUUACCCGCAGAAGAAGCACCGGCUAACUCCGUG